UAAUGUAUAGUCACUUUGUUCAUGAAUUGAGGUGCGGUGAGGACUAAGGAUGCUAAACUCCAUAGCUUCCUUAGUGAGGAGUGGAGUGAGGAAUAAGGAAUGAGGGACAAGCAUCAAGUUUGAAAUGCUAAGGCGGGUUUGCACGGGGCUGUUUAUCCAGCAGACUGCUUGCAGGCUUGGCUGGGUGGCAGGCUGGCUGGUUGGCUGCGUGACCUCUGCACCAAACACCAAUGGUCAAGAUGGAGUUCUCGGACGAGCUGCUUGCUCAUGCGGGUUGCAAGUUGGCGAUGUCAUGCAGUCUUGCACGUCUGGCAGCGAACACGGCGUCUGCAGCAGCGACGCUGAAAGGAAACCUUUCCGGAGACACGGACACGUUCCACCAGAUAGCUAAUUAUCAAGCUCAGGUUAUCUAGAACUCCCUCACUUAUGAAUUAUGUUCAUUGCCCAGAUCUCAUUAAGUAAAUAGUGUGACCAAACAUAACAUAAAGGAACGAACAAUUAUGCCAAUAAAUGACUGUAGCCAUACGUAGAAUGGUGCAAGAGGACUGGGGGAGAAGUGGGGGCGUGUCUGUCAGCGUAAAUGCAUCCUACAAGUUCCAGCCAAGGAAAGAAAGGAACAUGAUGACGCAAUAAACCUGUUUUAUUGUUCAACAUUCAAUGUAAUGAAACUAUUGUGUACAUAAUAUAUUCUUUUUUAUUUUGGGUUAAAUAAGUUUAUAAAUUACUUGACUGAA